rnacentral:rRNA from 1 species
GAUGAACGCUGGCGGCGUGCCUAAUACAUGCAAGUCGAGCGAAUGGAUUAAGAGCUUGCUCUUAUGAAGUUAGCGGCGGACGGGUGAGUAACACGUGGGUAACCUGCCCAUAAGACUGGGAUAACUCCGGGAAACCGGAGCUAAUACCGGAUAACAUUUUGAACCGCAUGGUUCGAAAUUGAAAGGCGGCUUCGGCUGUCACUUAUGGAUGGACCCGCGUCGCAUUAGCUAGUUGGUGAGGUAACGGCUCACCAAGGCAACGAUGCGUAGCCGACCUGAGAGGGUAAUCGGCCACACUGGGACUGAGACACGGCCCAGACUCCUACGGGAGGCAGCAGUAGGGAAUCUUCCGCAAUGGACGAAAGUCUGACGGAGCAACGCCGCGUGAGUGAUGAAGGCUUUCGGGUCGUAAAACUCUGUUGUUAGGGAAGAACAAGUGCUAGUUGAAUAAGCUGGCACCUUGACGGUACCUAACCAGAAAGCCACGGCUAACUACGUGCCAGCAGCCGCGGUAA